rnacentral:rRNA from 2 species
AAAGCAUCUAAGCACGAAACUUGCCCCGAGAUGAGUUCUCCCUGACUCCUUGAGAGUCCUGAAGGAACGUUGAAGACGACGACGUUGAUAGGCCGGGUGUGUAAGCGCAGCGAUGCGUUGAGCUAACCGGUACUAAUGAACCGUGAGGCUUAACCUUACAACGCCGAAG